CUUGCUUCUUGGGUGGCGAGUGGCGAACGGGUGAGUAAUAUAUCGGAACGUACCGAGUAAUGGGGGAUAACUAAUCGAAAGAUUAGCUAAUACCGCAUAUUCUCUGAGGAGGAAAGCAGGGGACUUUCGGGCCUUGCGUUAUUCGAGCGGCCGAUAUCUGAUUAGCUAGUUGGUGGGGUAAAGGCCUACCAAGGCGACGAUCAGUAGCGGGUCUGAGAGGAUGAUCCGCCACACUGGGACUGAGACACGGCCCAGACUCCUACGGGAGGCAGCAGUGGGGAAUUUUGGACAAUGGGCGCAAGCCUGAUCCAGCCAUGCCGCGUGUCUGAAGAAGGCCUUCGGGUUGUAAAGGACUUUUGUCAGGGAAGAAAAGGCUGUUGCUAAUACCGACAGCUGAUGACGGUACCUGAAGAAUAAGCACCGGCUAACUACGUGCCAGCAGCCGCGGUAAUACGUAGGGUGCGAGCGUUAAUCGGAAUUACUGGGCGUAAAGCGAGCGCAGACGGUUACUUAAGCAGGAUGUGAAAUCCCCGGGCUCAACCUGGGAACUGCGUUCUGAACUGGGUGACUAGAGUGUGUCAGAGGGAGGUAGAAUUCCACGUGUAGCAGUGAAAUGCGUAGAGAUGUGGAGGAAUACCG
rnacentral:rRNA from 1 species